UACAGGGGGUGCAAGCGUUACUCGGAUUUACUGGGCGUAAAGAGCGUGUAGGUGGUUUGUUAAGUCUGGUGUGAAAUCCCUGGGCUCAAUCCAGGAAGUGCAUUGGAUACUGAUAGACUAGAGUGCAGGAGAGGUGAGCGGAAUUCCCGGUGUAGAGGUGAAAUUCGUAGAUGUCGGGAGGAACAACAGAAGCGAAGGCGGCUCACUGGACUGUUACUGACACUAAGGCGCGAAAGCGUGGGGAGCAAACAGG
rnacentral:rRNA from 1 species